ACCGGGGGAUAACAGCUGGAAACGGCUGCUAAUACCGCAUAAGCGCACAGAGCUGCAUGGCUCGGUGUGAAAAACUCCGGUCGUAUGGGAUGGGCCCGCGUCUGAUUAGGCAGUUGGCGGGGUAACGGCCCACCAAACCGACGAUCAGUAGCCGGCCUGAGAGGGCGACCGGCCACAUUGGGACUGAGACAUGGCCCAAACUCCUACGGGAGGCAGCAGUGGGGAAUAUUGCACAAUGGGGGAAACCCUGAUGCAGCGACGCCGCGUGAGCGAAGAAGUAUUUCGGUAUGUAAAGCUCUAUCAGCAGGGAAGAUAAUGACGGUACCUGACUAAGAAGCCCCGGCUAACUACGUGCCAGCAGCCGCGGUAAUACGUAGGGGGCAAGCGUUAUCCGGAUUUACUGGGUGUAAAGGGGGCGUAGACGGCAAGGCAAGUCUGAUGUGAAAACCCAGGGCUUAACCCUGGGACUGCAUUGGAAACUGUCUGGCUCGAGUGCCGGAGAGGUAAGCGGAAUUCCUAGUGUAGCGGUGAAAUGCGUAGAUAUUAGGAAGAACACCAGUGGCGAAGGCGGCUUACUGGACGGUAACUGACGUUGAGGCUCGAAAGCGUGGGGAGCAAACAGGAUUAGAUACCCUGGUAGUCCACGCCGUAAACGA
rnacentral:rRNA from 1 species